rnacentral:rRNA from 1 species
GACGAACGCUGGCGGCGUGCUUAACACAUGCAAGUCGAACGGAAAGGCCCUGCUUUUGUGGGGUGCUCGAGUGGCGAACGGGUGAGUAACACGUGAGUAACCUGCCCUUGACUUUGGGAUAACUUCAGGAAACUGGGGCUAAUACCGGAUAGGAGCUCCUGCUGCAUGGUGGGGGUUGGAAAGUUUCGGCGGUUGGGGAUGGACUCGCGGCUUAUCAGCUUGGUGGUGGGGUAGUGGCUUACCAAGGCUUUGACGGGUAGCCGGCCUGAGAGGGUGACCGGCCACAUUGGGACUGAGAUACGGCCCAGACUCCGACGGGAGGCAGCAGUGGGGAAUAGUGCACAAUGGGCGGAAGCCUGAUGCAGCAACGCCGCGUGCGGGAUGACGGCCUUCGGGUUGUAAACCGCUUUCGCCUGUGACGAAGCGUGAGUGACGGUAAUGGGUAAAGAAGCACCGGCUAACUACGUG